rnacentral:lncRNA from 1 species
CCCCACUCCCGACUCCCCAGCUCACCGUGUCCCCGCAGCCGCCUGUCUACAUAACUGGAGAAGCUGUGACCCUGAUGUGCUCAGCUACCGGGACGUCCACUGUGUUCGGAGUCCGGUUCUUCAGAGAUGAUCAGGAAAUUCAGCGGAAGGAACUCCCCUCACCUCGGUACAGUUACACCAAAUCGAUUCAAGCACAAGGCGGAGCCUAUACCUGUGAAUCCUGGCAGACAGUGUCUGGGCGAGAAAUCACAUCAAACAGGAGCCGACCGAUCUCCAUAGCAGUCACAGAUCCCCCUCCCCAGCCAGCGCUGAGUGUGGAUCCCCCAUCCGGAUCAGUGAGUGAAGGGAUCCACCUGCUCAUGACCUGCACGGCCCCCAGUGACGCUGGUCAGCGGAGGUUUCACUUCUACAAGGACAGAGCCGAGCUCAUCCCUGGGGACGUGGGGUCUGAGAUCAACACGACAGAGCCCAGGACUGUCUCUAUGAACACCUCUGUGCUCAGAAUCCCGCUGGACAGUUCAAACAACACCGGGGAAUUCAGCUGUGGGUACGAGGAGAAUGUGGGUGGGAGAUGGAUCCCGUCGCCCAGGAGCUGGGCCGUGACUGUCGCCAGGAACGUCACAGUGUCAGCUCGAACCUUCCUCUGGGUCCAGGAGCUGGCAGUAGGUGGCUCCUUCUUCCUCAUUAAUGGUCUCAUCUUCCUCGGCUCCCACUGCUGCUUCUAGAUCCAGGUAACUGGCUUCCUCUGUGAAGGGGGCCUUUCAUUCUGUGUCUUGGAUUCUCUCCACAAGGUGACCCGUUUGAUCUGCAAUCUCUCCCCUUGAAUUACAGCCUGGAGGGGGAGGUUCUCCUGAAAAGUCCAAGAGUGAGGUCUGAGAAACAUCCACAGGGUUUCAAAGGGUUUUAAGCACCAUGAACGCUUCAGCAACCAACCAAAAAGAAGCUGUAUCUGGGGUGGGGCACCGUCACUGUUUCACAGCUUCACAAUCCUUGUGCACAGAAUUUGCUUGCCCAGUGUGAACCCACGCAGCCCUGUAUUCACACCCUACACACAGCUGCAAUGACCUAUACAAACUCUGCCUUGUGAGGUAUCAUUUGAAAAUCCCACUACACUGGUCAAUAAUAUCACUGCAGAGUAUAGGUGAGAACGCUGAAGGUGGAGAUGUGGCCAACCUCCAUGAGUCUGUUUUAAAGUCUGUAUUUGAACAAAGGAGAACCAGGUCUGCCCAGGACUUGAAUAGAAAUUAAUCCGGGUGGCCAAUGACAAGAGAAUUAGGAUGUACAUUGGUGGUAAACAAAGUAAUCAAGCCACCAAGGACAAGAGGUGAUGACUCAGAUAUUGACAGGGCGAGAGAAGGGACCCCCAGGAGACCUUCCUUCCUGAAGCAGGCUCAAUAAACAUAGAGAGACAUGCUCUCCUGGACGAUAC